rnacentral:rRNA from 1 species
GGAAAGGCGCGCGAUACAGGGUGACAGCCCCGUACACAAAAAUGCACAUGCUGUGAGCUCGAUGAGUAGGGCGGGACACGUGGUAUCCUGUCUGAAUAUGGGGGGACCAUCCUCCAAGGCUAAAUACUCCUGACUGACCGAUAGUGAACCAGUACCGUGAGGGAAAGGCGAAAAGAACCCCGGCGAGGGGAGUGAAAAAGAACCUGAAACCGUGUACGUACAAGCAGUGGGAGCACGCUUAGGCGUGUGACUGCGUACCUUUUGUAUAAUGGGUCAGCGACUUAUAUUCUGUAGCAAGGUUAACCGAAUAGGGGAGCCGAAGGGAAACCGAGUCUUAACUGGGCGUUAAGUUGCAGGGUAUAGACCCGAAACCCGGUGAUCUAGCCAUGGGCAGGUUGAAGGUUGGGUAACACUAACUGGAGGACCGAACCGACUAAUGUUGAAAAAUUAGCGGAUGACUUGUGGCUGGGGGUGAAAGGCCAAUCAAACCGGGAGAUAGCUGGUUCUCCCCGAAAGCUAUUUAGGUAGCGCCUCGUGAAUUCAUCUCCGGGGGUAGAGCACUGUUUCGGCAAGGGGGUCAUCCCGACUUACCAACCCGAUGCAAACUGCGAAUACCGGAGAAUGUUAUCACGGGAGACACACGGCGGGUGCUAACGUCCGUCGUGAAGAGGGAAACAACCCAGACCGCCAGCUAAGGUCCCAAAGUCAUGGUUAAGUGGGAAACGAUGUGGGAAGGCCCAGACAGCCAGGAUGUUGGCUUAGAAGCAGCCAUCAUUUAAAGAAAGCGUAAUAGCUCACUGGUCGAGUCGGCCUGCGCGGAAGAUGUAACGGGGCUAAACCAUGCACCGAAGCUGCGGCAGCGACGCUGAUGCGUUGUUGGGUAGGGGAGCGUUCUGUAAGCCUGCGAAGGUGUGCUGUGAGGCAUGCUGGAGGUAUCAGAAGUGCGAAUGCUGACAUAAGUAACGAUAAAGCGGGUGAAAAGCCCGCUCGCCGGAAGACCAAGGGUUCCUGUCCAACGUUAAUCGGGGCAGGGUGAGUCGACCCCUAAGGCGAGGCCGAAAGGCGUAGUCGAUGGGAAACAGGUUAAUAUUCCUGUACUUGGUGUUACUGCGAAGGGGGGACGGAGAAGGCUAUGUUGGCCGGGCGACGGUUGUCCCGGUUUAAGCGUGUAGGCUGGUUUUCCAGGCAAAUCCGGAAAAUCAAGGCUGAGGCGUGAUGACGAGGCACUACGGUGCUGAAGCAACAAAUGCCCUGCUUCCAGGAAAAGCCUCUAAGCAUCAGGUAACAUCAAAUCGUACCCCAAACCGACACAGGUGGUCAGGUAGAGAAUACCAAGGCGCUUGAGAGAACUCGGGUGAAGGAACUAGGCAAAAUGGUGCCGUAACUUCGGGAGAAGGCACGCUGAUAUGUAGGUGAAGUCCCUCGCGGAUGGAGCUGAAAUCAGUCGAAGAUACCAGCUGGCUGCAACUGUUUAUUAAAAACACAGCACUGUGCAAACACGAAAGUGGACGUAUACGGUGUGACGCCUGCCCGGUGCCGGAAGGUUAAUUGAUGGGGUUAGCGCAAGCGAAGCUCUUGAUCGAAGCCCCGGUAAACGGCGGCCGUAACUAUAACGGUCCUAAGGUAGCGAAAUUCCUUGUCGGGUAAGUUCCGACCUGCACGAAUGGCGUAAUGAUGGCCAGGCUGUCUCCACCCGAGACUCAGUGAAAUUGAACUCGCUGUGAAGAUGCAGUGUACCCGCGGCAAGACGGAAAGACCCCGUGAACCUUUACUAUAGCUUGACACUGAACAUUGAGCCUUGAUGUGUAGGAUAGGUGGGAGGCUUUGAAGUGUGGACGCCAGUCUGCAUGGAGCCGACCUUGAAAUACCACCCUU